AGGCCUUUAUAUUUUUAAAAGAAAAUAUAUUACAAAUUUGUAUAGUUCUGUACUGAAAGAACUUUGGAUUGAAUUUAAGUUCUAAGGAGGUGGCUGGGUUUCUUAUUGUCACCUUUUGUCUUGUCUCAUUUAGCUAUAUCGAGAAGUUUACUGACUUUCUUCGGCUCUUUGUGAGUGUUCACCUAAGAAGAAUCGAGUCUUACUCCCAGUUCCCUGUGGUGGAGUUUUUGACACUUUUGUUCAAGUACACAUUUCAUCAGCCUACUCAUGAAGGUUACUUCUCUUGUUUGGAUAUCUGGACGCUGUUUUUGGACUAUCUGACAAGUAAAAUUAAAAGUCGUCUUGGAGACAAGGAAGCAGUUCUCAACAGGUACGAAGAUGCCCUGGUGCUCCUGCUCACAGAGGUGUUGAAUCGAAUCCAGUUCAGAUACAACCAAGCCCAGCUGGAGGAGUUGGAUGAUGAGACUCUGGAUGACGAUCAGCAGACGGAGUGGCAGCGGUACUUACGGCAGAGCUUGGAGGUGGUGGCCAAAGUGAUGGAGCUCCUGCCCACGCACGCCUUCUCCACACUGUUCCCUGUUCUUCAGGACAAUUUAGAAGUUUAUUUGGGAUUACAACAGUUUAUAGUCACUUCAGGGUCAGGACACAGGUUGAACAUCACG
rnacentral:lncRNA from 1 species